CUAAGUCGCAAGACGAUGUAUAGGAGCUGACGCCUGCCCGGUGCUGGAAGGUUAAGGGGAUCUGUUAGAGCAAUCGAAGCAGUGAACUUAAGCCCCAGUAAACGGCGGCCGUAACUAUAACGGUCCUAAGGUAGCGAAAUUCCUUGUCGGGUAAGUUCCGACCCGCACGAAAGGCGUAACGAUUUGGGCACUGUCUCAACAACAGACUCGGUGAAAUUGUAAUUCCGGUGAAGAUGCCGGAUACCUGCGACAGGACGGAAAGACCCCAUGGAGCUUUACUGUAGCUUGACAUUGGGUCUUGGUACUACAUGUACAGGAUAGGUGGGAGGCUUUGAAACCAGGACGCCAGUUUUGGCGGAGCCAUCCUUGGGAUACCACCCUUGUAGUACUGGGACUCUAACCAUAGGCCAUGAAUCUGGUCUUGGGACACUGUCAGGUGGGCAGUUUGACUGGGGCGGUCGCCUCCCAAAAGGUAACGGAGGCGCUCAAAGGUUCUCUCAGUACGGUCGGAAAUCGUACGUAGAGUGUAAAGGCAAAAGAGAGCUUGAUUGCAAGACAUACAGGUCGAGCAAGGAUGAAAAUCGGACUUAGUGAUCCGGUGGUUCUGCGUGGAAGGGCCAUCGCUCAACGGAUAAAAGCUACCCUGGGGAUAACAGGCUUAUCUCCCCCAAGAGUCCACAUCGACGGGGAGGUUUGGCACCUCGAUGUCGGCUCAUCACAUCCUGGGGCUGUAGUAGGUCCCAAGGGUUGGGCUGUUCGCCCAUUAAAGUGGUACGCGAGCUGGGUUCAGAACGUCGUGAGACAGUUCGGUCCCUAUCCGUCGCAGGCGUAGGAAAUUUGAGAAGACCUGUCCUUAGUACGAGAGGACCGGGAUGGACG
rnacentral:rRNA from 1 species